AACGAACGCUGGCGGCAGGCUUAACACAUGCAAGUCGAACGGUUGUAGCAAUACAGCAGUGGCGCACGGGUGAGUAACGCGUGGAUAUCUGCCUUUUGGUUCGGAAUAACUCCGGGAAACUGGAGCUAAUACCGGAUGGUUCCUGCGGGGUAAAGAUUUAUCGCCAAAAGAUGAGUCCGCGUACGAUUAGCUAGUUGGUGAGGUAAUGGCUCACCAAGGCGACGAUCGUUAGCUGGUCUGAGAGGACGAUCAGCCACACUGGGACUGAGACACGGCCCAGACUCCUACGGGAGGCAGCAGUGGGGAAUAUUGGACAAUGGGGCAACCCUGAUCCAGCCAUGCCGCGUGAGUGAUGAAGGCCUUCGGGUUGUAAAGCUCUUUUGGCGGGGACGAUGAUGACGGUACCCGCAGAAUAAGCCCCGGCUAACUUCGUGCCAGCAGCCGCGGU
rnacentral:rRNA from 1 species